rnacentral:rRNA from 1 species
GCAUAACGCGAAGAACCUUACCCAGGUUUGACAUCCUACUAAUUUCUCCGAAAGGAGAGAGUGCCUUCGGGCCGUAGUGACAGGUGAUGCAUGGCCGUCGUCAGCUCGUGUCGUGAGAUGUUUGGUUAAGUCCAUCAACGAGCGCAACCCUUAUAGUUAGUUGGAUUUCUCUAGCUAGACUGCCCUGGCAACAGGGAGGAAGGAGGGGAUGAUGUCAGGUCAGUAUUUCCCUUACAUCUGGGGCUACAAACACGCUACAAUGGCCGGUACAAAGGGCAGCCAACCCGUGAGGGGGAGCAAAUCCCAUCAAAGCCGGUCUCAGUUCGGAUAGCAGGCUGAAACUCGCCUGCUUGAAGUCGGAAUCGCUAGUAACGGUAGGUCAGCACACUACCGUGAAUACGUUCCCGGGUCUUGUACACACCG